rnacentral:misc_RNA from 1 species
GAUGAAGAACGUAGCAAAAUGCGAUAAGUAAUGUGAAUUGCAGAAUUCAGUGAAUCAUCGAAUCUUUGAACGCACAUUGCGCCCGCUGGUAUUCCGGCGGGCAUGCCUGUUCGAGCGUCAUUUCAACCCUCAAGCCCCCGGGUUUGGUGUUGGGGAUCGGCUCUGCCCUUCUGGGCGGUGCCGCCCCCGAAAUACAUUGGCGGUCUCGCUGCAGCCUCCAUUGCGUAGUGGCUAACACCUCGCAACUGGAACGCGGCGCGGCCAUGCCGUAAAACCCCAACUUCUGAAUGUUGACCUCGGAUCAGGUAGGAAUACCCGCUGAACUUAAGCAUAUCAAUAAGCGGAGGA